GUUUAUGGUUAUAUCACCCUACAGCCCAAGACCGGUUACUCAUUGAAGUUAAGCAGGGCUGAGCGUGGUCAGUAUCUGGAUGGGAGACCACAUGGGAAAGCUAGGUUGCUGUUGGAA
ensembl:rRNA 5S_rRNA 5S ribosomal RNA